GCGGCCGCAGGUAAUGACCUGGAAGGGGAGGCUUGGGAGGUGGGGCACAGUCCAUGGUGGCAGCUGGCUGGCAAGGGCCUGGCCCUCAGCCCUCUUCGGUCUCUCUCUUUUGCCACCCACAGGACAGCAGGUGCCAGGCUUCCCAACAGCUCCAACCCGGGUGGUGAUUGCCCGGCCCACUCCUCCACAGGCUCGGCCUUCCCAUCCUGGAGGGCCCCCAGUCUCUGGGACACUGCAGGGCGCCGGUCUGGGUACCAAUGCCUCGUUGGCCCAGAUGGUGAGCGGCCUUGUGGGGCAGCUUCUUAUGCAGCCAGUCCUUGUGGCUCAGGGGACCCCAGGUAUGGCUCCACCGCCAGCCCCUGCCACUGCUUCCGCCAGUGCUGGCACCACCAACACAGCUACCACAGCUGGGCCUGCUCCUGGGGGGCCUGCCCAGCCUCCACCCGCCCCUCAACCCUCCACGGCUGAUCUUCAGUUCUCUCAGCUUCUGGGGAACCUGCUUGGGCCUGCAGGGCCAGGGGCUGGAGGGCCUGGUGUGGCUUCUCCCACCAUCACUGUGGCGAUGCCUGGUGUCCCUGCCUUUCUCCAGGGUGUCACUGACUUCUUGCAGGCAACACAGACAGCCCCUCCACCACCCCCACCUCCUCCACCCCCACCACCUGCCCCAGAGCAGCAGACCAUGCCCCCACCAGGCUCCCCUUCUGGUGGUGCAGGGAGUCCUGGAGGCCUGGGUCUUGAGAGCCUGUCACCGGAGUUUUUUACCUCAGUGGUGCAGGGUGUGCUCAGCUCCCUGCUGGGCUCCUUGGGGGCUCGGGCUGGCAGCAGUGAAAGUAUUGCUGCCUUCAUACAACGCCUCAGUGGAUCCAGCAACAUCUUUGAGCCUGGAGCCGAUGGGGCCCUUGGAUUCUUUGGGGCCCUGCUCUCUCUUUUGUGCCAGAACUUCUCUAUGGUGGAUGUAGUGAUGCUUCUUCAUGGGCAUUUCCAGCCACUACAACGGCUC
rnacentral:sRNA from 1 species